AACGAACGCUGGCGGCAGGCUUAACACAUGCAAGUCGAACGGUUGCAGCAAUGCAGCAGUGGCAGACGGGUGAGUAACACGUGGGAACCUUCCUAGGGGUACGGAACAACUCAGGGAAACUUGAGCUAAUACCGUAUACGUCCGUGAGGAGAAAGAUUUAUCGCCCUUAGACGGGCCCGCGUCGGAUUAGCUAGUUGGUGGGUAACGGCCUACCAAGGCGACGAUCCGUAGCUGAUCUUAGAGGAUGAUCAGCCACACUGGGACUGAGACACGGCCCAGACUCCUACGGGAGGCAGCAGUGGGGAAUCUUGGACAAUGGGCGCAAGCCUGAUCCAGCCAUGCCGCGUGAGUGAAGAAGGUCUUCGGAUUGUAAAGCUCUUUUGCCAGGGACGAUAAUGACGGUACCUGGAGAAUAAGCCCCGGCAAACUUCGUGCCAGCAGCCGCGGU
rnacentral:rRNA from 1 species